rnacentral:rRNA from 1 species
CAGUCGCCGCGGGAAUACGGAGGGUGCAAGCGUUAAUCGGAAUUACUGGGCGUAAAGCGUGCGCAGGCGGUGCUGUAAGACUGAUGUGAAAUCCCCGGGCUCAACCUGGGAACUGCAUUGGUGACUGCAACGCUGGAGUGCGGCAGAGGGGGAUGGAAUUCCGCGUGUAGCAGUGAAAUGCGUAGAUAUGCGGAGGAACACCGAUGGCGAAGGCAAUCCCCUGGGCCUGCACUGACGCUCGUGCACGAAAGCGUGGGGAGCAAACAGGAUUAGAUACCCGAGUAGUCCCUGUCUCUUAUAA